rnacentral:piRNA from 1 species
UAAAGAAGGUGGUGAUAGGGAGGGUCCCUU